rnacentral:rRNA from 1 species
AUUGAACGCUGGCGGCAUGCCUUACACAUGCAAGUCGAACGGCAGCACGGAGCUUGCUCCGGUGGCGAGUGGCGAACGGGUGAGUAAUAUAUCGGAACGUACCCUAGAGUGGGGGAUAACGUAGCGAAAGUUACGCUAAUACCGCAUACGAUCUAAGGAUGAAAGUGGGGGAUCGCAAGACCUCAUGCUCGUGGAGCGGCCGAUAUCUGAUUAGCUAGUUGGUAGGGUAAAAGCCUACCAAGGCAUCGAUCAGUAGCUGGUCUGAGAGGACGACCAGCCACACUGGAACUGAGACACGGUCCAGACUCCUACGGGAGGCAGCAGUGGGGAAUUUUGGACAAUGGGCGAAAGCCUGAUCCAGCAAUGCCGCGUGAGUGAAGAAGGCCUUCGGGUUGUAAAGCUCUUUUGUCAGGGAAGAAACGGUGAGAGCUAAUAUCUCUUGCUAAUGACGGUACCUGAAGAAUAAGCACCGGCUAACUACGUGCCAGCAGCCGCGGUAAUACGUAGGGUGCAAGCGUUAAUCGGAAUUACUGGGCGUAAAGCGUGCGCAGGCGGUUUUGUGAGUCUGAUGUGAAAUCCCCGGGCUCAACCUGGGAAUUGCAUUGGAGACUGCAAGGCUAGAAUCUGGCAGAGGGGGGUAGAAUUCCACGUGUAGCAGUGAAAUGCGUAGAUAUGUGGAGGAACACCGAUGGCGAAGGCAGCCCCCUGGGUCAAGAUUGACGCUCAUGCACGAAAGCGUGGGGAGCAAACAGGAUUAGAUACCCUGGUAGUCCACGCCCUAAACGAUGUCUACUAGUUGUCGGGUCUUAAUUGACUUGGUAACGCAGCUAACGCGUGAAGUAGACCGCCUGGGGAGUACGGUCGCAAGAUUAAAACUCAAAGGAAUUGACGGGGACCCGCACAAGCGGUGGAUGAUGUGGAUUAAUUCGAUGCAACGCGAAAAACCUUACCUACCCUUGACAUGGCUGGAAUCCCGGAGAGAUUUGGGAGUGCUCGAAAGAGAACCAGUACACAGGUGCUGCAUGGCUGUCGUCAGCUCGUGUCGUGAGAUGUUGGGUUAAGUCCCGCAACGAGCGCAACCCUUGUCAUUAGUUGCUACGAAAGGGCACUCUAAUGAGACUGCCGGUGACAAACCGGAGGAAGGUGGGGAUGACGUCAAGUCCUCAUGGCCCUUAUGGGUAGGGCUUCACACGUCAUACAAUGGUACAUACAGAGCGCCGCCAACCCGCGAGGGGGAGCUAAUCGCAGAAAGUGUAUCGUAGUCCGGAUUGUAGUCUGCAACUCGACUGCAUGAAGUUGGAAUCGCUAGUAAUCGCGGAUCAGCAUGUCGCGGUGAAUACGUUCCCGGGUCU